ensembl:lncRNA
AGCUCUCUCUCUCUCUUUUAUUUUUUUCACCUGGCCAGAACUGUUACUUUUAUCACAGUCACAGUUCUCCACUUUAUAUGCAGUGAGAGUAUAGUUGCCCACACUGGAUUUUGCUUCGUCAAGGUGACAGGAUCCUGUUUUCUGUGUCAGCUAAGAUUCCCAUCAAGACUAGCGUCUCUUGGCACAAUAUACUCCACUCUUCUGAUCCCACAAUUUUUCGCUCAGUCGAGCCAAGUCCAGUCCACACGAUGCUGGGAGCUAAAUCCACCUCAUCCAUCACAGCCAGACCUGAUGCAGUCGGCACACACAUAUAGUGUAUACUGUAUGAGGAGGGACCAAACUGAAGAAUAUCACAGCCAUAAAACAGGAUCAGGGUUAAUAACAAUUGCAUCCUGCAAUGGAUCUGCAAAUCAGAAAACAUCUGGUUUGUGUACUCUGGGUCUGCACCCCUCUGAGGCAAGUAAGUAAAUUUAAUAUAAAACUGAUUUACACUGAGUUUGAAAAUUGAGUUUAGAUAACAAGGGGCAGAAGGACUGGCUCCUAAAUGAAAGAAACCAAGAAACAUACAAUGGAGUAUGUCUGUAUAAGAAUAAUAAGCAAAUAUAUAUUCAAUUCAUAUAUAUAUAUCAUAUCAUACUAGUAACACCAUAACAAUAUAUAGUAACAUCAUAGGUUCAUAUUAGAGACAAUAGUAACUGCUGGGCACUUCUGGGUACAUGUUUAUUGUGAGAUUUUUGUGUUGUCAUAAAAAAUAUUUGCAAAAUAUACUUUUUUAAAUCUUUUUUUUUUUUGCCUUGUUUUUCUGUAAAAUUACCUCUAAGCAACAAAAUUUAGGUCAAAGACACCCCUCCACAAUUAAAAUUUAGUUUUUAAGCUUCACAGUAAAUAUAUUCAUGUUUAAGGAUAUGGUUUAUGCAACCUGAUCUCAUGAGACCAGGUCACUUUUUUUUUGUUUGCUCUCCAGAGAUGACUAGAGGGCCACACUUGUGGAAAACUUUGAAUGUGUAACGUGGCAGUCAUGACACCGGAGUUCUGGAUGCAAAUGCUAGCUUUUUUUUUUUUUUUAAAGUGUGGUCAGACAGACAGGGUAGAUCACCAGCAAACAAUAACAUCCAAGGAUAAUCCAAGAGAGAAAUCCAACGAAUAGGCAUAAGGUCAGGGCAGGCAGCAAACAAUCAAAACACGGAAACAGUCCAAGAUUAAACACACGUAGCCAAGGUAAGGAAACAAGGGAACACAGAAACUGGGAAAAUAUAACAGGCUUACAAUCAACAGCGAUGUGAGAGUGUGUGUGUACCAUUCUUAUAGUGAGACUAAUGAGGUAAUGAGAGACAGGUGACAGCAAUUUAUGAUGAGUGCAAGUGAGUCCGUGCAAAGGAUUGUGGGAAAUGGAGUCCUGGGUGAAUGGUAAAAGUCAGGGAUGAAGUGCCCACUGGUGGAGAUUAUGGGCACUCCAGCUGGUGAUCGU